rnacentral:rRNA from 1 species
AGUGAACGCUGGCGGUAGGCCUAACACAUGCAAGUCGAACGGCAGCACAGUAAGAGCUUGCUCUUACGGGUGGCGAGUGGCGGACGGGUGCGGGAUACAUCGAAAUCUACUUUUUCGUGGGGGAGAACGUAGGGAAACUUACGCUAAUACCGCAUACGACCUACGGGUGAAAGCAGGGGAUCUUCGGACCUUGCACGAUUGAAUGAGCCGAUGUCGGAUUAGCUAGUUGGCGGGGUAAAGGCCCACCAAGGCGACGAUCCGUAGCUGGUCUGAGAGGAUGAUCAGUCACACUGGAACUGAGACACGGUCCAGACUCCUACGGGAGGCAGCAGUGGGGAAUAUUGGACAAUGGGCGCAAGCCUGAUCCAGCCAUGCCGCGUGGGUGAAGAAGGCCUUCGGAUUGUAAAGCCCUUUUGUUUGGAAAGAAAGGCAGUAGGUUAAUACCUCGCUGUUCUGACGGUACCCACAGAAUAAGCACCGGCUAACUUCGUG